AUUGAACGCUGGCGGCAGGCCUAACACAUGCAAGUCGAGCGAGAGGCGGACGGGUGAGUAAUGUCUGGGAAACUGCCUGAUGGAGGGGGUUAACUACUGGAAACGGUAGCUAAUACCGCAUACCAUCAGAUGUGCCCAGAUGGGAUUAGCUAGUAGGUGGGGUAAAGGCUCACCUAGGCGACGAUCCCUAGCUGGUCUGAGAGGAUGACCAGCCACACUGGAACUGAGACACGGUCCAGACUCCUACGGGAGGCAGCAGUGGGGAAUAUUGCACAAUGGGCGCAAGCCGGAUGCAGCCAUGCCGCGUGUGUGAAGAAGGCCUUCGGGUUGUAAAGCACUUUCAGUGGGGAGGCGUUACCCGCAGAAGAAGCACCGGCUAACUCCGUGCCAGCAGCCGCGGUAAUAC
rnacentral:rRNA from 1 species